rnacentral:rRNA from 1 species
UACGGGGGGGGCAAGCGUUGUUCGGAAUUACUGGGCGUAAAGGGCUCGUAGGCGGCCAACUAAGUCAGACGUGAAAUCCCUCGGCUUAACCGGGGAACUGCGUCUGAUACUGGAUGGCUUGAGAUUGGGAGAGGGAUGCGGAAUUCCAGGUGUAGCGGUGAAAUGCGUAGAUAUCUGGAGGAACACCGGUGGCGAAGGCGGCAUCCUGGACCAGCACUGACACUGAGGAGCGAAAGCCAGGGGAGCAAACGGG